GGAGUUUGGGUAAGGAGGACUAACACCAGAUGUCUUUCACCUCUCCUUUGCUAAUGCUGCUCUUUGUUUCUCCUCCUACCCUUUUUGCUCAUUUGUUUUUGGAUUAUCCAUAACCACUUUGCCAUUGCAUUGAAGGUCCUUCAGAACAAGUGAGCUUGCUGCAAAGCACAAACCUUUCCAAAGAGGUGUCUAGGGAAACAACAGGGCAGUCAGCUUGGAAAUAAAUGCAAUCUGUUUUUUUUUUUUUUCUUUUUUUUUUUUUGAGACGGAGUCUCUCUGUCGCCCAGGCUGGAGUACAGUGGCGCCAUCUUGGCUCGGCUCACUGCAAACUCCGCCUUCCGGUUCAAGCAAUUCUCCUGCCUCAGCCUCCCAAGUAGCUGGGACUACAGGCGCCUGCCACUAUGCCUGGCUAAUUUUUGCAUUUUUAGUAGAGAUGGGGUUUCACCAUGUUGGCCAGGCUGGUCUCGAACUCCUGACUUCAAGUGAUCCACCUGCCUCAGCCUCCCAAAGUGCUGGGAUUACAGGCGUGAGCCUCCGUGCCCAGCCUGCAGUCGAUUUUUACAUUCAAGUUCACACAUGAGCCAGUGAAAAUUCCCCUACUUAUUCUUACUGAAAUUUAAACUCUAGAACAGGGCAGGUGAGAGGAGAGGAGCUGAAGGAAUAUCUGCACCUUCCCUGACUCUACCUUGGCAGCCUUCAGCAAUCCUGGAGAGUCUCACCCCUUCCCACAGAGGAGCAGGGACUCUAAGCAUCUUCAAACAAUCAGUGCCAUUUUGUGGGAACUUAGAUCCAAUAUAUCCCUGUUCACGGGUCCCACAAUGCUUAGAAUGAUGCACUGCCCUGAGGAGUUUGACAGACGUGGCAGAGGAGAGAGGCAGGAGGGAGGAGGAGAAGAGACACUUAACAAGUGUCUGUGAGGUGGCGUUUACAUUUAGAAUUCCCUUUCCUUUCAAAGGAAUCUCCAGGAUAGCCAAAGAGUCCAGCUUAAAGGUAGCCAGCCAGAAAAAGUGCCCAAACCACGCAGUGAGAUCACACCUUUGAAGACCCCACCUUGGCAUAGACUCUACGGCUUUCACGAAUGAUGCUGAGCUCUCAGCAGCACCAGAACCUCAGGCUCUGACACCCACAAAGCUGCAGGUCUCCAGGGCUGCUUGGGCCAAAAGGGUGAACAUGAAAAAUAGAAGCCUCCAGUUUCUCCUGAUAGUGUAUAGAUGGGCAGAUCUGGCCUCAAUGGCAGAAGAUACUUGGGGAACUGGAGAAAGUACAGAAGGUGAUGUGAAAUCAAUUGGGUCAUCAAAAGAAGACGGGUGUACCACAAUUUGUUCCUCCACCUGCUGCCCAUGAACAUUUGGAGGGUUUCUAGUUUUUGGCUAUUACAAAUAAAGUUGUCAUGAACAUUUGCAUACAAAU
rnacentral:lncRNA from 1 species